UACGUAGGGAGCGAGCGUUGUCCGGAUUCAUUGGGCGUAAAGAGCUCGUAGGCGGCUUGGCAAGUCGGGUGUGAAAACUCCAGGCUCAACCUGGAGACGCCACCCGAUACUGCCAUGGCUAGAGUCCGGUAGGGGACCACGGAAUUCCUGGUGUAGCGGUGAAAUGCGUAGAGAUCCGGAAGAACACCGGUGGCGAAGGCGGCCUGCUGGGCCGGAGUUGGCAACACUUAGCUGACGCUGAGGCGGCGACAGCGUGGGGAGCAAACG
rnacentral:rRNA from 1 species